UAGUGGUGCGAAUGAUGAUUCAGUUAAAUGCAUGAUGUCAUCUUAUGAUCUAAAGUUUUUGACGCAUAAAUUAUAUCUUAUCCACCAAUC